UACAGAGGAGCCAAGCGUUGUCCGGAUUGACUGGGCGUAAAGCGCACGCAGGCGGUCGGGCGCGUGGGGUGUGAAAUCUGGCCGCUUAACGGCCAGGCGCCAUCCCAUACGGCUCGACUGGAGUGAUGCAGAGGUCGAUGGAAUUGCCGGUGUAGUGGUGAAAUGCGUAGAGAUCGGCAGGAACACCCAGGGGGAAACCAGUGGACUGGGCAUGAGCUGACGCUCAGGUGCGAAAGCGUGGGGAGCGAACCGG
rnacentral:rRNA from 1 species